GGAGAGUUGACCGAGUGGUCGAUGGUAUUAGUCUCGAAAACUAACGUAGGAUUUUCCUACCAGCAGUUCGAAUCUGCUACUCUCCGCCA
rnacentral:tRNA from 1 species